UACGUAGGGCGCAAGCGUUGUCCGGAAUUAUUGGGCGUAAAGAGCUCGUAGGCGGCCAGUUGCGUCCGCUGUGAAAUCCCGGGGCUUAACCCCGGGCGUGCAGUGGAUACGGGCUGGCUGGAGGCAGGCAGGGGAGAACGGAAUUCCCGGUGUAGCGGUGAAAUGCGCAGAUAUCGGGAGGAACACCGGUGGCGAAAGCGGCUCACUGGAUCUCUUCUGACGCUGAGGAACGAAAGCGAGGGUAGCGAACGGG
rnacentral:rRNA from 1 species